CAGCCGCCGCGGGAACACAGAGGGUGCAAGCGUUAAUCGGAAUUACUGGGCGUAAAGCGCGCGUAGGUGGUUUGUUAAGUUGGAUGUGAAAUCCCCGGGCUCAACCUGGGAACUGCAUCCAAAACUGGCAAGCUAGAGUAUGGUAGAGGGUGGUGGAAUUUCCUGUGUAGCGGUGAAAUGCGUAGAUAUAGGAAGAAACACCAGUGGCGAAGGCGACCACCUGGACUGAUACUGACACUGAGGUGCGAAAGCGUGGGGAGCAAACAGGAUUAGAGACCCCGGUAGUCCCUGUCUCUUAUAC
rnacentral:rRNA from 1 species